UACGUAGGGAGCAAGCGUUGUCCGGAUUUAUUGGGCGUAAAGCGCACGUAGGUGGCGACGUAAGUCGGGUGUGAAAGCCCCGGGCUCAACCUGGGAAUUGCAUUCGAGACUGCAUUGCUGGAGUACGGAAGAGGAAGGCGGAAUUCCCGGUGUAGCGGUGAAAUGCGUAGAUAUCGGAAGGAACAUCAGUGGCGAAAGCGACUUCCUGGACCAAUACUGACGCUCAUGUGCGAAAGCGUGGGGAGCAAACAGG
rnacentral:rRNA from 1 species